rnacentral:rRNA from 1 species
CCUACGGGAGGCAGCAGUGGGGGAUAUUGCACAAUGGGGGGAACCCUGAUGCAGCGACGCCGCGUGGGUGAAGAAGCGCCUCGGCGCGUAAAGCCCUGUCAGCAGGGAAGAAAAUGACGGUACCUGAAGAAGAAGCCCCGGCUAACUACGUGCCAGCAGCCGCGGUAAUACGUAGGGGGCAAGCGUUAUCCGGAUUUACUGGGUGUAAAGGGGGCGCAGACGGCGAUGCAAGCCAGGAGUGAAAGCCCGGGGCCCAACCCCGGGACUGCUCUUGGAACUGCGUGGCUAGAGUGCAGGAGGGGCAGGCGGAAUUCCUGGUGUAGCGGUGAAAUGCGUAGAGAUCAGGAGGAACACCGGUGGCGAAGGCGGCCUGCUGGACUGCAACUGACGUUGAGGCCCGAAAGCGUGGGGAGCAAACAGGAUUAGAUACCCCAGUAGUC